AGACGUCUACAUUAGAUAUCCGGGUAGUCCCAGCCGUAAACUAUGCUCGCUAGGUGUCAGGCAUGGCGCGACCGUGUCUGGUGCCGCAGGGAAGCCGUGAAGCGAGCCACCUGGGAAGUACGGCCGCAAGGCUGAAACUUAAAGGAAUUGGCGGGGAGCACCACAACGGGUGGAGCCUGCGGUUUAAUUGGACUCAACGCCGGGAAGCUCACCGGAUAAGACAGCGGAAUGAUUGCCGGGCUGAAGACUCUGCAUGACUAGCUG
rnacentral:rRNA from 1 species